rnacentral:lncRNA from 1 species
ACACAUUAUUUUUUUGCUAUAUAGUAACAUCUUUCAUUAUAGUGGACUAGAUUUAAAUGCUGUCUAAUAUGGCUUAAUCUAUUUUAAACUACUUACUAGACUUCUUUGGAAAUAUAUAUUUACUGUCCACAUCUAUUUUAGCACUAUAGCUGAGCUAGGAAUUUAUGCUUUGUGUGAACCAAUUUAUCUCGUCAGACACAUGAGCAUUCCUGCCCAUUUCUUAGGUAUUUUAGAGCAGAGUUUUCUGGUAACCAUGUUUUUAAUCUGUAAUCAAUUGAAAAUAGAGAAAAUGUGGAAUAAAUGUGUGUAUGGUAGUCAUUUUUUACAGAAUAAAAUUAUGGAAGAAUAAUUGACAAAUACUUGGGUUCUUAAAUGUGACAGCAUCUUUAGACAUAGUUAAAAAUAAGAAGUCACAGAAA